UGCUAACUCUUUUCAUAAUGCAGGGUUCAUUUAAGAUGAUGUGGUUGCAGAAGAAAGCUUAGAUAUUGAUCACAAUACUGAUGAAGCCUUGCUACAAGAACUUUGUUGCAGGAUCCCACAAGUGCCUGAAAACCUGACUUUUCAAGACUUUUUGGAUAUAGUCAACAAUGGUAUGUAUGGAAGAAAUAUUGGACAAUGAAAUAAUUAAGCAAGUUUUGAAUCUGGAUACAGAAGAACAAUCUGAUGAUGAUGAAGAAUGCAAGGCCAUCCCAAGACCUACACUUAAAGAAGUCACCGAAUGGCUGUCAGGUUUGCAUCAUUUUUUUGAAUCACACAAUAACUCUGACAUGCGUACUUGCAUUGACUCUAUGGAAGCUUAUGUUUAUCAAAGUGCUACAC
rnacentral:lncRNA from 1 species